CCAAUCUCUGAGUUGAGAUUUUUUAGACAUAGGGCCUCCAUUCCCUAGUCGCCUUUUCUUUGCCAACAUUAGGGCUCCAAUCCCUGAGUUGAGAUUUUAGACAUAGGGCCUCCAUUCCCUAGUCGCCUUUCUUGCCAACAUAGGGCCUCCAUGCCUCCAUUCCCUAGUCGCCUUUCUUGCCAACAUAGACCUCCAUUCCCUAGUUGAGAAUUUUAGAUAUAGGGCUCCAUUCCCUAAUCUUUCCUCCUAAAGACGCACAAUCCUUAUUUUAUCGCUUUAAAAAAAAGGUUUAGAUUUUAGUUACAAAUAAAUCACGAAAUUUUCCUAGUGAAAAGUGGGGCAGAAAAAUUUCAUUCAUUUAUUUGUUUUGGUGUCUGAGCAGGUUUGACCUCGAGGCACAAGAUUCAGAUGAUCAAAAGAAUGAGUCUCAAUCCAGAAUAAAGAAAAGAAGAAAAAGAACAAAAGUAGUGAAUCCAAAGUGCUGAAGCGGAGAAAGAAGCGGACUGCUCAAGAUAUGAUCGAAGUCACAAGCUUCGCGUGUCCCGCCUUGAUCCAAAGCUGAAGAAUGAACCAACGGUUACAACUGACGAGCAUCAAGAUUCAGAUCGGAGUCUGCAGCAAGAACCAGCCAAGACUCGAGAUCAAGCUUCAAGAGAUUUAUAGAUAGGAAUCUUGUAACUCGUAGUUGAUAGGUUUAGCCAGCUUAGCUUUUAUUUUUCAUUUUGGUGUAAUAAGGAGCUCAGCAAGCAGAAACAACAGCAAAAGUAGUGAAAUCACAGUUUCUGGUAGACCCAGCUACCAAAACUUCCAGAACUACACUGAUCUGAUUCCUUUAUAGCCAAGGAUAUGUAGGCAACCUCUGAAGCAGGGUUCGGUCAGGCUCUUUUCAAAAAUGCUUCUCAUAGAGUUUCAAACGGGCAAAAAUCCCUCAUAUUGCUCACUUUAUCUUUGCCUGAAAACUCUUCAUGUUUCCGAGCAAAGAGGGGCAGCUGUAAGCACGUGAUUUUUGCCCUAUACGAAAUACUCCUAUAAAAUCAAAGAAAAUAGAUUUUUUCAAUUAUUUGCCAUUUUAUAGGAUUUUGUAGGAUUUUUAUUUAAUUGUUUGCAUUUUGUGCAUGUUUACUGUUU
rnacentral:lncRNA from 1 species